rnacentral:rRNA from 1 species
CAGUAGCCACGGGAAAACGGAGGGUGCAAGCGUUAUCCGGAUUUAUUGGGUUUAAAGGGUCCGUAGGCGGACUUAUAAGUCAGUGGUGAAAGCCUGUCGCUUAACGAUAGAACUGCCAUUGAUACUGUAAGUCUUGAGUAUAUUUGAGGUAGCUGGAAUAAGUAGUGUAGCGGUGAAAUGCAUAGAUAUUACUUAGAACACCAAUUUCGAAGGCAGGUUACCAAGAUAUAACUGACGCUGAGGGACGAAAGCGUGGGUAGCGAACAGGAUUAGAUACCCCGGUAGUCCCUGUCUCUUAUAC